rnacentral:hammerhead_ribozyme from 1 species
AUCUUGCUGACGAGUCUCAAAUAGGACGAAAUGCGUGUUCUGGAU